CUCCUCGUAGUUCAACGGAUAGAACACGGGCUUGCGGAGCCCGCGAUACAGGUUCGAUUCCUGUCGAGGAGG
rnacentral:tRNA from 1 species